GUGAGUAGUUCAGAGUUUGAUCCUGGCUCAGGAUGAACGCUAGCGGCAGGCUUAACACAUGCAAGUCGAGGGGCAGCAUGGGACGGAGAUUCGUCGAAGUCCUGAUGGCGACCGGCGCAAGGGUGCGUAACGCGUGAGCAACUUGCCCGUUUCAGGGGGAUAACCGGUGGAAACGCCGACUAAUACCCCAUAGUAUUGAGUUUAGGCAUCUUUACUCAAUUAAAGAACUUCGGAAACGGAUAGGCUCGCGUGACAUUAGCUAGAUGGCGGGGUAACGGCCCACCAUGGCGACGAUGUCUAGGGGUUCUGAGAGGAAGGUCCUCCACACUGGAACUGAGACACGGUCCAG
rnacentral:rRNA from 1 species